UCAUGCAUCACAGCCAAGAGUCUAAACAGAUGUGACUGAUCACCAGAAUGUUAAAGAGUGUGUCUCGGGUUCCAGGGAAGCAAGAGAACGUUAUGAAAUGUGACUGGGGGCUGGGAGUGUAUCUCUGCUGUGCUGACCAUGUGUGCGGCUUCAGGCGGCUGCUCCCUGUGAAGCAUUUCAUUGGAAACGCACGGGGCCUCAGUUAUCAUCUGUUGAAAGGAUUACAAGCUCCACACAGUCUGGUGCAAAACAAUUCGCAACUGCUUUCAUUCAGAGGAAGGCCUCAAAAACAUUUUCCCGUCGAUCAGUAGUGCAACGACCAAGGUUACUGAUAACACAGAAACAUUCUUGGAAAAUGUCAAAACCCCAAUAACAAUAUACUAUAUUAUUUACACAAGCUAGACUAGCAACCUUCCUUCACCUCUGCUUGUCCUUUCUUUUCAAUGGAUAUAUAGUACAAUGGUAACCGCCCACUGUUUUAUAGUGGCUGUGGUAUUUUUUCACAUUAAAUUUUCUCCAUUAUGAUUUAAAAACAAAACAAAACAAAAAAUCUACAUUUAAAAUAAUAAUAAUCUUAAUAAUUAAAUUCAUUAAUGAGGUAAUUAACUACUCAUCCCAUGAAACAUAGUAAAUGACAUAAUAGAUCAAAGUAAUAGUAUUAAAUAAAAAUAGUUUUAUACUCGUUCAUUAUAAGUAUUAGAAAAAUAUAUUUUGAUAUAGUUUAUUAUAAAAUUCAAAGAGUUGGUAUGUCGGUUAGAGUUUGUAAUGUGCUUUAAAGUCUUUUCUGCUCACCAAGGCUGCAUUUAUUUGAUUAAAAAAUACAGUAAAAGCAAGAAUAUUGUGAAAUAUUAUUACAAUUUAAAAUAACCAUUUUCUAUUUGAAUAUAUUUUACAAGGUAAUUUAUUACUGUGAUCAAAGCUGAAUUUUAAGUAUGACUAUUUUCCAAUCCAAUUUUAAAGCAACAUUUUAGCAAAGGCUCAUGUUCAAAGUCUCCUAGAGUUACUGUAAACGGUUGAGUUUUACUGUUUUCGAAUCCAUUCAGCCGAUCUCUGGGUGGUAGCACUUUUAGCUUAGCUUAGCAUAAAUCAUUGAUUCUGAUUAGACCGUUAGCAUCUCACUCAAAAAUGACCAAAGAGUUUCGAUAUAAUUCCUAUUUAAAAGUCGGCUGUGUGUGUGUGUGUGUGUACAAAUAAACAAGUUUUUAAUAUUAUAUAAUAUAUUUAAUAUUAUGUUUUAAUAAACAUUAUUUCUUAUUAUUAUUAAUGUUGAAAACACUUGUUAAGUGUUUAAUAUUUGUGGAAACUGUGAUACAUUUCAAGUCUUUGAUGAAGAGAAAGUUAAAA
rnacentral:lncRNA from 1 species